CUGCGAGCAGCGCGAGCGUUCACCUGCGAGCAGCGCGAGCGUUCACCUGCGAGCAGCGCGAGCGUUCACCUGCGAGCAGCGCGAGCGUUCACCUGCGAGCAGCGCGAUUUACAAAAUGGUGCCGGUAGUGCUUCUUGCUGAUUUCUGUUGAGACAUUUUUCUUCGGCGUGAAAGCAAACCUCGUCAUUAUUUCUCAACGCGCGGCAGAAAACCCUGCUCCAUAGGCCCUGAUGUAUAUUUCAGACCGGAUGUGACGCAUCGGGUGAGUUUUUUAUUCACUUUUAUUGUUUUCAGAAGUCUUUAUCCCAAGAAAAUGUGUAUUUCCUAAUAUGAGUGAAAUAAUAAUGUUGUAGUAGCUUCAUGUUUUCAGGAUGUUGAGGGGAAAGGUUUGUAUUUUGUCUUUGACUGAACACAAUGAGAGAGAGAUUCCAGUGUGAUGAGCAGUACGUUUAAAUAAUUUCAUUCAUUUCCAAAGUGGUACUAAAUAUAAUGUCUAUUCACUAAUGUGAGAGAUAAAUAGCCAAAAUGUUUGCAGUGUUUAAAAUGUAUUCCUUCUAACCAAGUUUGAUUUUAAUUGACACUUAAAAAAAAAAAAAAACACCUGAAGCAGCCUUAUAUGGUAUUUUAUGUAUACAAAUAAAAUAUUUGUAUGUGUAUGUCGUCCUCUAGGAUAGAAGAAACAUUGUCUGUGUAAUCAGUUGUCUAGGUUGCCCAUGUUAUCUUGUUCCAUUAUUUACUACUGCCUAUAAGGAAAGGGGAAAAGGGAGACGGACUCAUUUUGUUGUUUGUAUAAAACCACAUACAAAUCUAUUCUGUAUUUAGUCAAUAUAGAUGAUCUUCAUUCCUGAGUUCUAACCUGCCCAAAAUCUGCAUAGUUAAUGCUGCCUGAAUUUACAUUUUGUCCUGUGACUUUUUUUGUCAUUUAUUCACAUUCUGGGCCACGUAUUGAGCAAUAACAGAUGUACGAUUUCUCUCCGUAGUAUUUGUUGUGGCACACGAUGAUCUAGUUUAAAUAUCAUUAAUAGGUCAUGUUUGAUUAAAUAUCAUUAAAAGCAUCAGGUUUUGUCCACCACUUUUGUACUAGAGGUUCCACCCCUGAUUAGUUUUUUUUAAUUUUAUGGUUAGUUUGUGGACUUUCUAUAAGAAAUGUUAUUUUAUUCUGAGAAUUCUAUAUUCUAUUAGAGUUUUUUUUUUCUAUUUUAUCUAUCCCCUUUAUUCCUCAUACACCCUAAAUACAUAUGCAAGUGAUCGUGAUGAAUCAAUUUAAUAUGCAAAUUAGCUGGUGAUGUCAUCUGGCGACGUUGAAGCACUUUUUGAGCGAGAUGGCGACGCUGCAGUCAUGUGGACUUUUUUUUUUUGAUAAGAGCCAGGUAAAGGUCAGAACAGAACUAUGAAGGUAAAACAUGCCGAAAGGAGGAAAAAGCCGUCAGAGAGUGGAUCUGACCUGGAGGAUUACAGUGGAAUGGAUUGUUUGGUGACAUCAUUACCUGUAAAAGUUAGAGGUGUUACAGAAUUCUGGAAGAAGUGAGGAGACGCUUAUUUAACAUUUAUGGAAGGAGUCUCCAGUGUCAGCGCUUUGGAACAGUCUGAGGUCAGCGUCUCUCCAUCACGCCUCAUCAUUCCUCACUUCCACUGAACGAGGGCGCCUCUCUAGGGGACGUCUCUAGGGGAGGAAUAUUUGAACAGAUGAAUUGAGGACCGUCUCUCUUGGGAGUCCUGGAUUUUCUGAGCGAGCAAUAGAGAAAGAAGAGCAAAAAGGGAAUUGAAGAGGGAGGAAGUGAGAGAUAAAGAAUGGAGAGGGGUAAUGACUUCACAGAGACCCAUCAUCACCACCCCUUAUUCCCUCUGAGGCUGAAUAGUGAACGAGGGCAACUCUCCAGGGGACGAAAAUUCGAACAGAUGUGUCGAGGUCUUUCUGAAAAGAGAGGAACUCGAGUGAUUCUGUUUGUUCUGGGCCUCUAGCUGCAGGUCCUGUUUGCUCAGUUCCUGAUUGCUAAGUGGACCAUAAAGUCUGAUUCGGUUCAUCAUUGAUUCAAAUGUUUUUAACCCUAAACAAGC
ensembl:lncRNA